CAACUCCACUAGUAUGGCAACAGACUUACUGGCCUCCUCAGCAACAAUUGCGUCCAUCCCAGUUUUUCUGUGACACUCUUCCAACUGGCCCCCACCUUCUGCAGUCGAAGUGCCAGAGUGGGGAAACAGCCUUGAUACCAGGUAGUCCACCUGAUUUGGAUCAUGAGGGCCACA